GCUGAGGAGCAGCCUGCCCAGGGAACGGCUGCCCAACGGGUAGCAGGGACUCCUUGUGGAAGCAAAUCCCAAAGGCAGUGGGCCUGUCAUUAGGUGGACAGUGAACGUUCCUGUUCUGCAGACCAAGCCGCUUCCCUGGCGUUUCAGAGGAGAACUCCUGCUUACGGUUCUGGAUUAGAAAAUGCACAUUUGGAGGAGAAUCCUUAAAUGUAACUCCCCUAGAAACAAAUGGAUACAGUAUAUGACUGACGAUUACCCCUGUUCGGACCAGCGGCUUCCACACCAAAAUCCAAGGUACCACUGG